rnacentral:rRNA from 1 species
UACGUAGGGCGCAAGCGUUAUCCGGAAUUAUUGGGCGUAAAGAGCUCGUAGGCGGUUUGUCGCGUCUGCCGUGAAAGUCCGGGGCUCAACUCCGGAUCUGCGGUGGGUACGGGCAGACUAGAGUGAUGUAGGGGAGACUGGAAUUCCUGGUGUAGCGGUGAAAUGCGCAGAUAUCUGGAGGAACACCGGUGGCGAAGGCGGCAUCCUGGACCGAUAUUGACGCUGAGGAGCGAAAGCCAGGGGAGCAAACGGG